AGUGAACGCUGGCGGCGUGCCUAAUACAUGCAAGUCGAACGAAGUGGCGCACGGGUGAGUAAUAUAUGGUUAAUCUGCCCUACCCAAAGGAAAAACAGUUGAAAACAACGGCUAAUACUCCAUAGUGUAGGAUGAGACUAUAUCGUAUCAGCUAGUUGUUAAGGUAAUGGCUUACCAAGGCUAUGACGCGUAACUGGUCUGAGAGGAUGAUCAGUCACAUUGGAACUGAGACACGGUCCAAACUCCUACGGGAGGCAGCAGUAAGGAAUAUUGCGCAAUGGGGGAAACCCUGACGCAGCAACGCCGCGUGGAGGAUGACACUUUUCGGAGCGUAAACUCCUUUUAUCAGGAAAGCGGUACCUGAUGAAUAAGCACCGGCUAACUCCGUGCCAGCAGCCGCGGUAAUAC
rnacentral:rRNA from 1 species